AGUGAACGCUGGCGGUAGGCCUAACACAUGCAAGUCGAACGGCAGCACAGUAAGAGCUUGCUCUUACGGGUGGCGAGUGGCGGACGAGUGAGGAAUACAUCGGAAUCUACUUUUUCGUGGGGGAUAACGUAGGGAAACUUACGCUAAUACCGCAUACGACCUACGGGUGAAAGCAGGAGAUCUUCGGACCUUGCGCGAUUGAAUGAGCCGAUGUCGGAUUAGCUAGUUGGCGGGGUAAAGGCCCACCAAGGCGACGAUCCGUAGCUGGUCUGAGAGGAUGAUCAGCCACACUGGAACUGAGACACGGUCCAGACUCCUACGGGAGGCAGCAGUGGGGAAUAUUGGACAAUGGGCGCAAGCCUGAUCCAGCCAUACCGCGUGGGUGAAGAAGGCCUUCGGGUUGUAAAGCCCUUUUGUUGGGAAAGAAAAGCAGCAGGUUAAUACCCCGCUGUUCUGACGGUACCCAAAGAAUAAGCACCGGCUAACUUCGUG
rnacentral:rRNA from 1 species